GUAGCUAGUCACAAUCGUAGCCAAUCCGACAAGUGCGUUUACUGCAUGGUUCGCUGAAAGCUUCGCAAUGCCGAGUGUUUUUAAUCAAUUCUAACUUGUUGAUUUGCUUAGAAAAUGAUGUACUCUAUGCUAAAAGUGGCGAGACGGUGCUUUUGUUGCACAGCAGUAAGGUUUUCUUUAAAUGGCGUUGGUGCACGGUCAUUAAAAGUUGCGACUCCAAAAGUCAAAAGCCAACGCAGUCCCUACGUUCUUGCGUUUAUUGGAGUUGCCGUCUCGGCCCCCCUUUUAUGGUACCAAACCCUGAGUACCCCUGACAAACGCUUUGUUCGGACCUCUCUUGGAGGACUUGUCAGAUUUGCAAAGACAUUAAAAAUUGGUCUUACAAUAUCUUGCGACUACUCGUACAGUGCAAUGGGAUAUACUGAGGGAACUGAGGAUUACAAGGCCAUGAUGAAGCGCUGUCACCAGCGCAAUGCUGAGCGAAUUCUCAAGGGUUGCCUUGAGAAUGGUGGCCUAUACAUCAAGCUCGGACAAAGUCUGGUUGCUCUUAAUCACCUUUUGCCACGAGAAUACCUUGACACCUUAGAAGUGCUUCAUGACCAUGCAUUGGUGCGCAGCAAAGAUGAGAUCAGUGAACUGUUUAGGGAGGACUUUGGUUGCUUGCCUGAAGAAAUGUUCAAGGAGUUCAACCGCACACCGAUUGCAGCUGCCAGCCUAGCUCAAGUUUUCAAGGCAAAGACUACCGAAGGAAAAGAUGUUGCUGUAAAAGUGCAGUACAUUGAUUUACAGGAACGAUUUAGUGGAGACCUGCACGGUAUUGGCAUCUUGGUGAAUAUCGUCAGUUGGAUGCACCCUGAUUUCAACUUUGCUUGGAUCCUUGAUUAUCUUAGGUCAUGCUUGGUAAAGGAGUUGGACUUCCUGCAUGAAGCUGGCAACAUGGAGCGUUGUGCCCGAGAUCUCGCCCACCUCCCCUACGUUUCAGUUCCUGGAGUUCACUGGAGCAAGACAAGUAAAAGAGUACUCACUAUGGAUUUUGUCAAUGGAGUCAAGAUAAGUGAUGUCAAGGGAAUUAAAAAGCUUGGUCUUGACCUUGCUGAUGUUGACCAAAAGAUGGUGGCAGCAUUUGCUGAGCAGAUAUUUCACACUGGCUUUGUCCAUGCAGACCCGCAUCCUGGCAAUGUGUUUGUUGAGAAAGGAAAAGAUGGAAAAGCAAAAAUAGUUCUUUUGGAUCAUGGGCUAUAUGAGUGCAUCUCUAAGGAAAACAGACUUUCUCUUUGUCAAUUGUGGAAUGCCAUCAUAAUGAAUGAUCGUAUUGGAAUGAAGACACACUCUCUUGAGUUGGGCGUUGCAAAGCUAGUUGCAUCUUUCUGCUUUAGAUUACCCCAUCUUCUGCGAGAUCCUGAUGCAACGACCUCUGCAGCGACAAACCUUUCGCUUGCGCAAUCAGCUGUCCAGUGAAGACGUGGCCUACAUGCGCACCAUGGUGCAGAAUCACUUUGAUGAGGUCAUGGACUGCAUUCGCAGCCUCCCUAGGCCCAUGCUGCUCAUAUUCAGGAACAUAAAUACUGUGCGCUCGAUCACAAAAAACCAUGGGCAUCCUGUUGAUCGCUUUACUUUGAUGGCUCGCAUUGCCACUCGGCGGCUGACCUUGAAUCUGGAACAUGCCAGCUUGCUGAUCAUACUGCACCACUGGUGGAAUUGC
rnacentral:misc_RNA from 1 species